rfam:Triticum urartu cultivar G1812 contig209651, whole genome shotgun sequence.
GGUCUUGUAGCUCAAUUGGUUAGAGCGUCGGUCUUAUCAACCACAGGUUGAGGGUUCAACCCCCUCCGAGACCA